UACGUAGGGACCGAGCGUUGUCCGGAUUCAUUGGGCGUAAAGAGCUCGUAGGCGGCCACUCAAGUCGAAUGUGAAACCUCGAGGCUUAACCUCGAGCCUGCAUUCGAUACUGGGUGGCUAGAGUCUGGUAGGGGGAUCUGGAAUUCCUGGUGUAGCGGUGGAAUGCGCAGAUAUCAGGAGGAACACCGGUGGCGAAGGCGGGAUCCUGGGCCAGUACUGACGCUGAGGAGCGAAAGCGUGGGGAGCAAACAGG
rnacentral:rRNA from 1 species